UACGUAGGUGGCGAGCGUUAUCCGGAAUGAUUGGGCGUAAAGGGUGCGUAGGCGGCCUGCUAAGUCUGGAGUGAAAGGUACCGGCUCAACCGGUAUAGGCUCUGGAAACUGGCGGGCUAGAGAGCAGGAGAGGGCGGUGGAACUCCAUGUGUAGCGGUAAAAUGCGUAGAUAUAUGGAAGAACACCAGUGGCGAAGGCGGCCGCCUGGCCUGUUACUGACGCUGAGGCACGAAAGCGUGGGGAGCAAAUAGG
rnacentral:rRNA from 1 species